rnacentral:ncRNA from 1 species
UAUCUGGUUGAUCCUGCCAGUAGUCAUAUGCUUGUCUCAAAGAUUAAGCCAUGCAUGUCAAAGUAUAAGCACUUGUACUGUGAAACUGCGAAUGGCUCAUUAAAUCAGUUAUCGUUUAUUUGAUUGUACCUUUACUACUUGGAUAACCGUGGUAAUUCUAGAGCUAAUACAUGCGAAAAGUCCCGACUUCUGAAGGGAUUA